GACGAACGCCGGCGGCGUGCUUAACACAUGCAAGUCGAACGAUGAAGCUAGAGCUUGCUCUGGUGGAUUAGUGGCGAACGGGUGAGUAACACGUGAGUAACCUGCCCCGAACUCUGGGAUAACUGCUGGAAACGGUAGCUAAUACCGGAUAUGACCAAUGAAGGCAUCUUCUGUUGGUGGAAAGAAUUUCGGUUCGGGAUGGACUCGCGGCCUAUCAGCUUGUUGGUGAGGUAACGGCUCACCAAGGCGACGACGGGUAGCCGGCCUGAGAGGGUGAUCGGCCACACUGGGACUGAGACACGGCCCAGACUCCUACGGGAGGCAGCAGUGGGGAAUAUUGCACAAUGGGCGCAAGCCUGAUGCAGCAACGCCGCGUGAGGGACGACGGCCUUCGGGUUGUAAACCUCUUUUAGUAGGGAAGAGGCGAAAGUGACGGUACCUGCAGAAAAAGCACCGGCUAACUACGUGCCAGCCGCCGCAGUAA
rnacentral:rRNA from 1 species